rnacentral:lncRNA from 1 species
CUAUGAAUAAACUUAAAGGGUUAAGAGCAGAAGUAAAAGCGAAUGCUGGGUUUGAUUCCCAUGUCUGGGAUUGGUUGGACCUGGCCUUAGGAAAGUGGGGCGCUAUGUUCACCAGGAUGGCCAUCAUGGUGGGUGCGGGCCUGGUGGCGUUAGGCGUUGUAUUCUGCUGUGUAAUACCUUUAGUUAAAUCACUUGUGGUCAAGACUGCUGUUAAACAGAUGUCAGUACAUGGAGUAACCCCUAAACCAAAGAGGAGGCAAAGAAAGAAGUUUAAGGAUUAUGUAUUGGAUCCACCUCUUGUAAUUAAUCCUGUCCCAGAUAAUCCUGGACACUAUACCAAUAAGUAUGGGAACCCUUGCAAUGCUGUUGGAGGUCCCCUUGAUUGCCCUUUUGGUAACCCUAACUGUCUCCAUGAGGUAAUCCUUGGAGGAGGUUAUAGGUGCCAUGAUUGGCGACCUGGUGGUUUUCCGGUGUAUGGCACAGACCCCGCUUCAGGUGAAUUGGUGAUUGUCCAUGUACACAAGAAAUGUCCAAAACCUAGGCGUUGCAAGUGGUGCUCCCAAGACGACAAUAAUGAACAUUACCAUCAUCCCGACCCUCUCUUUUGUGCAAUGUGCCAAAGGGGGGAUUGCCCUAUUUGUGCGGAUGAGGAGUGUGCCCCUAGGACAUAACCCCUAGUAUGAUUCUGAACAGGCCUUAAGUAUAUGUUGUCUUUUAUGUUUGUUCUAUGGGUUUCAUACAUAUAUAAAUGUAUGCUUUUCUUUAAUUAUAAGUUAGUUUUGCCUUCCUAAAAUGAUGAACAUGUAUUAUACGUUAGGUAACAGAGGGUGUUUCCGGUUACAAGUGUCUACGGACCAUGUCCUUAAUCUUCUAGCAGUUAUGAGUGAAAGGUGCUCAGUAUAUGUUAGAGAGGUGUCCGCGAGGGAGGAUCGUGUUAGAAUGUCUCAUUUUGGAAUGAUGUUGUGUAACCUUUAUUUUUGAUUAUUUGGGCCAUGUUCAGAUUCUU